rnacentral:rRNA from 1 species
GGGGAAUCUUCCGCAAUGGACGAAAGUCUGACCGAGCAACGCCGCGUGAGUGAAGAAGGUUUUCGGAUCGUAAAGCUCUGUUGUAAGAGAAGAACGAGUGUGAGAGUGGAAAGUUCACACUGUGACGGUAUCUUACCAGAAAGGGACGGCUAACUACGUGCCAGCAGCCGCGGUAAUACGUAGGUCCCGAGCGUUGUCCGGAAUCAUUGGGCGUAAAGGGAGCGCAGGCGGGCGUGUAAGUCUUUCUUAAAAGUGCGGGGCUCAACCCCCGUGAUGGGAAAGAAACUACAUGUCUUGAGUACAGGAGAGGAAAGCGGAAUUCCCAGUGUAGCGGUGAAAUGCGUAGAUAUUGGGAGGAACACCAGUGGCGAAGGCGGCUUUCUGGACUGCAACUGACGCUGAGGCUCGAAAGCCAGGGGAGCGAACGGGAUUAGAUACCCCGGUAGUCCUGGCCGUAAACGAUGGAUACUAGGUGUGGGAGGUAUCGACCCCUACCGUGCCGGAGUUAACGCAAUAAGUAUCCCGCCUGGGGAGUACGGCCGCAAGGCUG